GAUGAACGCUAGCGGCAGGCCUAAUACAUGCAAGUCGAACGCUCAGUAGCAAUACUGGGAGUGGCGCACGGGUGCGUAACGCGUACACAAUCUACCUCUAAGCGGGGGACACCUCCUGGAAACGGGGAUUAAUACCGCAUAAUAUGCCGAGGUCGCAUGACUUUGGUAUUAAAGCAGCAAUGCACUUAGAGAUGAGUGUGCGUCCCCAUUAGGUAGUUGGUGAGGUAACGGCUCACCAAGCCUAUGAUGGGUAGCCGGUCUGAGAGGAUGGGUCGGCCACACGGGCACUGAGACACGGGCCCGACUCCUACGGGAGGCAGCAGUAAGGAAUAUUGGUCAAUGGUGGAAACACUGAACCAGCCAUGCCGCGUGGAGGAAUAAGGUCCUACGGAUUGUAAACUCC
rnacentral:rRNA from 1 species